GAUGAACGCUGACAGAAUGCUUAACACAUGCAAGUCAACUUGAACUUCGGUUUGGGUGGCGGACGGGUGAGUAACGCGUAAAGAACUUGCCUCACAGAUAGGGACAACAUUUGGAAACGAAUGCUAAUACCUGAUAUUAUGAUUUUAGGGCAUCCUAGGAUUAUGAAAGCUAUAUGCGCUGUGAGAGAGCUUUGCGUCCCAUUAGCUAGUUGGAGAGGUAACGGCUCACCAAGGCGAUGAUGGGUAGCCGGCCUGAGAGGGUGAUCGGCCACAAGGGGACUGAGACACGGCCCUUACUCCUACGGGAGGCAGCAGUGGGGAAUAUUGGACAAUGGACCAAGAGUCUGAUCCAGCAAUUCUGUGUGCACGAUGAAGUUUUUCGGAAUGUAAAGUGCUUUCAGUUGGGAAGAAAAAAAUGACGGUACCAACAGAAGAAGUGACGGCUAAAUACGU
rnacentral:rRNA from 1 species